ensembl:rRNA 5S_rRNA 5S ribosomal RNA
GACUAUGGCCAUACCACCCUGAACACACCCGAUCUCAUCUGAUCUCGGAAGCUAAGCAGGGUCGGGCCUGGUUGGUACUUGGAUGGGAGAAAUGGAACAAGCAAUUGAAACACUGGUUGUCUAAAACA